rnacentral:rRNA from 1 species
UAGGGAAUCUUCCGCAAUGGGCGAAAGCUUGACGGAGCAACGCCGCGUGAGUGAUGAAGGUCUUCGGAUCGUAAAACUCUGUUAUUAGGGAAGAACAAAUGUGUAAGUAACUAUGCACGUCUUGACGGUACCUAAUCAGAAAGCCACGGCUAACUACGUGCCAGCAGCCGCGGUAAUACGUAGGUGGCAAGCGUUAUCCGGAAUUAUUGGGCGUAAAGCGCGCGUAGGCGGUUUUUUAAGUCUGAUGUGAAAGCCCAAGGCUCAACCGUGGAGGGCCAUUGGAAACGGGAAAACUUGAGUGCAGAAGAGGAAAGUGGAAUUCCAUGUGUAGCGGUGAAAUGCGCAGAGAUAUGGAGGAACACCAGUGGCGAAGGCGACUUUCUGGUCUGUAACUGACGCUGAUGUGCGAAAGCGUGGGGAUCAAACAGG